UUAGGGCCUGAGGACAACCUUUAUGUGGAGGGUUUUGCAUCAAAUCUUUUUGCAAAGGCAGAUAAGCAAGAUCGUGCUGGUCGUGCAGAUCUGAAUACUGCAAAAACUUUUUAUGCUGCAAGUAUCUUUUUUGAGAUACUAUAUCAAUUUGGUGAACUUCAGCCUGAAAUUGAGCAAAAACAGAAGUAUGCAGUUUGGAAAGCUACAGAUAUAAGGAAAGCUCUUAAAGAAGUCCGGAAACCUGAACCAGGUCCUCCAGGUGGUG